rnacentral:lncRNA from 1 species
CCAUGAUUCGAGCUUUUGGCGCGAAAAACAAAUUGAAAUUCAUUGAUUGAUCUAUGGAGAUUCCAGAUGAAGAUGAUUUGAAUCGCAAUGCCUGGGAACGUUGUAACCAUCUCCUUCAGUCUUGGAUCAUCAAUUCAGCUACUCCUCAAAUUGCACAAACCCUAGUUUUUCAUGAAAACGCCAUUGAUGCGUGGUUGGAUCUUAAAGAACGCUUCUCUAAAGCAGAUCGUAUUCGUAUUGCUACUCUUCGUUCUAAGAUCAAUAAUCUGAAGC